rnacentral:rRNA from 1 species
UACGGAGGUGGCGAGCGUUGUCCGAAGUUACUGGGCGUAAAGCGCGCGUAGGCGGGGGAUUAAGUGAGAAGUGAAAGGCUGGGGCUCAACUCCAUGCAGUGCUUCUCAUACUCUCUUCUUGAGGGGGGUAGAGAGAAGUGGAAUGGCUGGUGUAGCGGUGAAAUGCGCAGAUAUCAGGAGGAACACCAAUGGCGAAGGCAGCUCGCUGGGACGGUACUGACGCUGAGACGCGAAAGCGUGGGGAGCAAACAGG